GUCCAUGCCGUAAACGAUGAGGACUCGCUAUUGGAUCUAUAGGAUUCAGUGGCUUAGGGAAACCGUUAAGUCCUCCACCUGGGGAGUACGCCGGCAACGGUGAAACUCAAAGGAAUUGACGGGGUCCGCACAAGCGGUGGAGCAUGUGGUUUAAUUCGAUGAUACGCGAGGAACCUUACCUGGGCUAAAUCACAUUUGAAUUAUUCAGAGAUGGAUAAGCUAGCAAUAGCAGAUGUGAAGGUGCUGCAUGGCUGUCGU
rnacentral:rRNA from 1 species